rnacentral:rRNA from 1 species
AACGAACGCUGGCGGUAUGCUUAACACAUGCAAGUCGAACGGGAUUUUCGGAUCUAGUGGCGGACGGGUGAGUAACGCGUGAGAAUCUGGCUUCAGGUCUGGGACAACAGUUGGAAACGGCUGCUAAUACCGGAUGUGCCUGAUGGUGAAAGGUUAACUGCCUGAAGAUGAGCUCGCGUCCGAUUAGUUAGUUGGUGUGGUAAGAGCGCACCAAGACGGCGAUCGGUAGCUGGUCUGAGAGGACGGCCAGCCACACUGGGACUGAGACACGGCCCAGACUCCUACGGGAGGCAGCAGUGGGGAAUUUUCCGCAAUGGGCGAAAGCCUGACGGAGCAAUACCGCGUGAGGGAGGAAGGCUCUUGGGUUGUAAACCUCUUUUCUCAAGGAAUAAUAAAUUGAAGGUACUUGAGGAAUAAGCAUCGGCUAACUCCGUGCCAGCAGCCGCCGUAAUAC